rnacentral:rRNA from 1 species
UACGAAGGGGGCUAGCGUUGCUCGGAAUUACUGGGCGUAAAGCGCACGUAGGCGGCUUGUUAAGUCAGGGGUGAAAUCCUGGAGCUCAACUCCAGAACUGCCUUUGAUACUGGCGAGCUUGAGUUCGGGAGAGGUGAGUGGAACUGCGAGUGUAGAGGUGAAAUUCGUAGAUAUUCGCAAGAACACCAGUGGCGAAGGCGGCUCACUGGCCCGAUACUGACGCUGAGGUGCGAAAGCGUGGGGAUCAAACAGG